rnacentral:lncRNA from 1 species
GCUCGGCUUAUGUGAGAAAGGACAGUGAAAUACCACGUCCAUACAUUUAUUUGGCUGUUUGGACAAGGUUAGAAUAAGAGCAGGGCAAAAAUUGCAGCCCUUUCUGUGAGAGUCAAGAAAACCAUUAGUUUGAAACCAAAUCACGUGCAGGCACACGCACACACACCGAGAUACGCACACACACAAACAUGCACACACCCGCAGCUGCUGCUAGCGGUGCUUGAUAGGACCCUGAAGAAAAUGAGAAUGUUAGCUAAAUGAUUUACUGCGAGCAUAAGAGGACAUUUUGACAUACACCGUUUUUAUGUUUUCCCAUUUCCUAUAUAAAAUGUGUAGAACUUUUGAAGCCCUUGGACUCCAGUGGUCGGCUCCCGCUCUGACCACUUCAAACCCCGCAGACAAAUAUAAUGAGAAAAUGCAUCUGCUUGGAUGGUGAAUGAGACAUGAAGUUCCCAGGAGGAUAUAGACUUACUUAUUGCCCUGUAACAUCUACUUGUUCCAAGGAAGGAAAUUUUCAACACAAAGC